rnacentral:lncRNA from 1 species
AGGAAGCCAUAAUCUGAGGCUUAGCGGCGGCGUCAGCCACCUUGGACGCUAUGAAUCUUGUUGCGAGGUGGAUUUGCGGAGGAGGAGCGACACCAACCACCCUUGUCAGUGAAGGAAAAGAAACAAUGCUGCCUGGCCAGAUUCUUCAUCUCUAAAUCUCAAAUUCAAAUUAUGUCCCUCUCCGUUGGGUGGCGGUUGGAGUAGGAAUUGUGGAUCUUUAUUUGUUGGAGAAGAAGAUAUGAGGAUAUAAAUUGGGUCCGGGAGUUGUGCGUGUCAUGUAAUUCUCAUGAUUAUUUAUCCUUGUUUUCCAAGUAAUACGAUUAAUAAUCUAUUAGGAUUUAUAAAAAUCACAGUUUAAUAGAAUUAGGACUGCAACCAUCUUUCACUUUUUAACAAAAAUUACAACAACAAAGCCUUAUUGAUCCUUCUAAAUAAGAAUUUUUUAUUUUAGAAAAAGUAAAUGAUUGUUUGGUUCAGAAGAAUAGUUUUCCUAUUUGUUUGUUUGUAAUUUUCUGUUUCGUUUUACAAAACCAUUUCAUUUAUAAAUAACGUUAAGAGAGCGUGUGAUACUUUUUGAUCCCUCACCUCAGCUGGGUUGAUAAAUAUCUUUAGCUCAAUACGUAAUUAAGAUUGUUUGUUCAAUUUAUUGGAGCUGAGCAGUGUGCCAUUCCUAAUUUCUUUGGUUUACAAUUGUCACGCAGCUCAUGCUGCCAUGGUUCCACGCUUGUUAAACUACUUUUAGUUUGAACAAUGUUUUGCGAAACCCAUUCUGCCAUGGUUCCACGCUUGUUAAACUACUUUUAGUUUGAACAAUGUUUUGCGAAACCCAUUCAUUAAACCACUCUAUUUUAUAUUAAUUCAUAUAUAUAUAUAUAUAGAAAGCAAAUAGCAUAAACGGUUUUACGUGCGUCCACGUUUGCCUAAUUUAUUUAUCUAAGAGGCAAAACGUUUUUACGUGCAUCCACAUUCGCCUAAUUUAAAAUAUUUAAAAUAGCACUCUUACUUAAUGCUGCUUGCUUCAGCACUUCUUCCUUCUCUUCUCUAGAGUGACCUAAUGCUCCUUGAGCACUUUUUCCUUUUCUGGAGUAACCUCUAUCCCCACCCUCUACUUCCCUUUUGAAAUUGCCAGAGUUAUCAUCAUUUAUUAAAAAUUCCACUUUCCAACCAUGCUCCUCAGAAGAGGCAAGCUUGCAGAGGGCUUCUGCAUCUUGGAAAUCUUCAACAACAACUCUCCUAUGGCUCUGUAGCUCCUCCCCGUCUCUUAGAAAAGCCGCCUUCUUCGCAUGGAAGUUUUCUAGCUUUUCAGAGUCAACAUUUUGGUUAUUACUUUCGAGGCUUCUCACCUCUCUCUUCAGGGGAAGGUAAUCAUUUUGUUUGUUUGAUUUCUUUCUAAUAUUCAAAUAAUUAUUGUUGUGUAAUCCUGAUAGCAUUGUUGCUGCAGCUUGAAUAGAUAUGUACCAGAGCAUGUGAGAUGCUCUUGCGCAGCAGUAUGGUGGCUCUGCAGCUCACAACACUGUAUGUUCUUAUUUUAUUCUUGGGUUAGAGCAUGUAUAUAUUAUCAGUUGGUAGAUGUCAUAGAUCAACCCCUAUAUUCUAACGUAAAGUAAAAAAAGAAGAAAAACUCUAACUCUAAUCAGAUGUCCACUGAAAAGAAAACAAAUCACAUUACAGAUCAAUACCUUUUUGCAAUCUUCUUGACAACAACAACUUAUCUGGGUAUCUUCUGCCAGGGUUCUCGGAGUUGCCAAGCUUAUUAAUGCUGUAUGUUUUCUUACUUCGGAACAUAAAUUUGUGCCUUAAUUAUGUUUUCAUCCUUUCCUUUCUUGCAUUUUCGUACCGUUGGGAACAAUUCUUUAGACUUUCCUUUUUCUACAACAUAAUUUGAGGGAUAUCAAGUUUCUUAGCCCUAUAAUCUUAUUUGUUUUGCAGUCAAGUUGACAACAACAACUUUGGUGGGAUUACAAUUCCAGAUUCGUAUAGCAACAUGUCUAAACUGUUCAAGUUGUAAGUGCUGCUUAUGAUUCUAUGUCUUUUGGUAAGUUGUAAGAGCUUUAAAUCUCCAUUUUUUCAUACAUCAGAUUUAAAGCUCCAACUACGGAGGUGUAAAUCCAAAAGAUUUGUGAUUAACCAUAGCAACAAUAGAGGGAAUCAUAGUUUUUGUUGGGAAACACAUUUCCAACCACUGUGCAGGGAACAUCUCCCGUUUCUAUCUGAUGUUAUAUCACAUUAGGUGAUGGUGCUAGUUGUUUGGAAUGACAAUCGAGAAGUAGCUCUUAAUAUUUAACACAACGAAUCAUGUCAACAUUGAAUAUCUUUGUGUUUUUGUUGAUUCUUUCAGGAGUUUGAGGAACUGCAACUUACAAGGGCCUAUUCCUAAUUUCAAUAGGUUUCCAAACCUUGGUUAUGCAUAGGUUCAAGUUUAAUUGUGUAAUAAAUGGAGAGAUUGAUCGCCGUCACUCAUAGCUGCGUUUCAGGAAACAAGUUUAUCUCUUGCCAAUUUUGUGUACCCACUUUUUAUUCAUGAUGGUUAGUGCUCGCUUGCAACCCAAUUAGCUGCUAUAAAGUUUUGCGUUUUACAAUCGGUUCAUGCUUAAACCUCUUCCAAUUUUGCAAUUCUGUGUAAAUCUUGCAGGUCAAGAUGGGACACAUAUCUGGGCAAUGUUGGGAUGUCUAGGCUUGGGUGGAGACGUGGACUUAUAAAAGUGGUGAAGUAGCUUAGCUCUAUCUCAUUAGCUCUCAUCUGUUCUGUUUAAAGCUCAUUGGUGCUGGCUCUGAGAUUUUUCGAAACUCUCCGUUUUCGAAAUCUGAAGCUUAGAAUCCCAUUCAACCACAAGGAACUAGAAUAAUUGGAAAAAAAAAUGUUUUGGCGUCCAAAAAGAAGCAUGUGCAAUCCUCUAAUUUUAUUAAUAUAAAAGAAGUGAUGCAAAUCCAGUAAAGAUGUAAAUAAGAGCUAUUAGUGGGGAAAAAAUAGUUGUGUUUGUACCAUACUUAGGGCCUCCAUAUUUAGAUCUCGUAUAAAUACUCGGGAGAUUCAAAUGUAAUUAUGUAAUAAAGGAAGGGGCAAAUAUGUAAUAAAUGAGGAGCCCUUAUUCUAUAAAAUGACCUCUCACUCUCCUCAUUAAGGAGGCCAAUUCCUAGGCCAUGAGAAGCCUCCUCACAUCCCCUAAGCUCUAAGCUCUCUCAAAGCUCUCACUCUCAUAUUCAGAGCUCUCUCUCCCUCAGAAAUACAAUAUCAGUGUGGACGUAGCCUAAACCUUGGGGUGAACCACGAUACAUCUUGUGUUAUUUACUUUCUUGCAGAUUCACGGUCAGAUUUACGUUGUUCCAAGACCCUUCCGGUUUUGUGCAUCAACAUUUGGCGCCGUCUGUGGGAAACGACACGAAAAACUAUGUCGGUUCUCUUUCAUUUUUUCACCUUCACCAUGAAUCUGCAUAAUCUGCAAAAUCUACAAAAACCCAUGAACCCAAAGCUUUCCUAAAAAAACCCAGAAACAGAAAAAAAUUCAAUCUUUCUUCUCUCUCUUUGCAUUUCACUCUCAAAUCUCCAUUUCUGAGUUUCGAAAAUGCAGAUGCUUUCCCGACAUUGGGUACCUUUCUCCAACUGCUCUCAGGUUACAGCCGUUGAUCCGCGACCCGAAAACCGGCGGAGCCCCACCAUUCUCCGAAUUCUCAUUCGCCGGCCGAUCGAACCGCAACUCGAGCUCACUGACUCGGUCACUCAGGCUCUGCAGGAACAACUCACCCCCGAGCCUCUCGACUCACUGAAUCAUCCCGUACGAAAGAAGCGACGGUGUUUUGAUUGGGGUCGGACUCAACAGCUCCGCAUCUUCUUCAUUCCAACUCUCUCAACGUCUCACUUAUAAUCCAGUCUCCAGCAAGCUAGCAAGCCCCAUAGUCGACCCACUACUCGAAACACCGUCGUUCUGUAGCGAAACAGCACCCAGCGUUCAAAUCGACAAUGAUGGUUGAUCGUUUGUUCGAGGACAUAUUUCAGAUUCUGCGAUUGAACCCAGAUGGCGAAAAGUUCGAUAAAGUUACUCGAGUAGAAGCAAAGAGUGAGACUUGCGAGAUGUUCAUGCACCUGGAUGUGAAUUCAGAGGUUUAUCUGAUGAGGGAAGGGCAAUCGCAAGACAUUGGCUGACGAAUAUGAGUAUGUCAUGCAAUGGAAGCUUUUUAAGAUUUCAGAGGGUUCUAAACGUGAUCCAAAAGCCAGUGCCAGCACAACAUCACCAUCGUCGAUUGCCAGCCCUCUGGCCCCUCCGGCGGCAUGCUCGCCUUCGUUAACGGCAAUCUCCAGCUCACCAACGAACAACACGCUCUCAAGUCCAGCCAGAUAGAGACAGAGACUGAAUGAGAAUGGUGCAGUGGAAAGAGAGGAUCGAAGGUGGUAAGCUACACGUGAGGGAAGUGAGCAUGCAUGUGGAGGCCAACGAGGAUAAUCAUGGGGGAACACAUGGGGGACAAUGCAAAAGAGAAAGAGAAAGAAAAAGAAAAGGGAGACCACCAGUAAAGCUACAGAAAAAAAAAAGUAGAAAAGAGAAAGUAAAAGCAAAAGAAAGCAGAAAAGGAAAAGCCGAAAAGAAGAUGCUCCACUAUUCCACUAUCCCACAUGAUAACAUGAUUAAAGAUAAGAAGAUGCCUACCAAGGUUCCCCGUCUCCACUUUCUGUUGGACCAGAAUAUGCCCAUCAACAUGCUGAAAACAUGUAAUUUAUUUUUCUUAUCUUUCGGAGACAUCUAUAUAAACCCCAUCAGAGGGUAAUAAUAAUAAUAAAAAAAAAUAGCAAAGCCCAAAAUAAAUGGGCUGGAAUGUUGUGUGGAGGGCGAAGGUCCAUAAGCUCAAAAUAGCACCAACCAGGUGACCAAAAGUACGCCCAGUACUACAAAAAAUUAUUUGGCACCCUGCCGCUAUUAUCGCCAACCAGGUGAUCAAAAAUACGCCCAGUACUUCAAAAUUUAUUCGGCACCCUGCCGCUAUUAUAACCAACCAGGUAAUUAAAAGUACGCCCAAUACUUCCAAAUUUAUUCGGCACUCUGCCGCUAUUAUCACCAACCAGGUGAUUAAAAGUACGCUCAGUACUCCAAAAUUAUACAUGAGCAUCACUCAUGUCAUUCAUACAUAAACAUUCAUGAGCAUCACUCAUGACAAUCAUACAUAAACAUUCAUCACCAUGAUUCAUGUCAACAUUCAUGAGCAUCAUUCAUGUCAACAUUCAUGAGCAUCACUCAUGUCAACAUCUAUGAGCAUUACUCAUGUCAAUCAACAUAAACAUUCAUGAGCAUCACUCAUGUCAAUCUAGCUUCAAAAGCUUCAUUUACAUAGCUCUAGCUUCAAAAGCUUCAUUUACAGAGCUCUAGCUUCAAAGCUUCACUUCAAAGCUUCACCUAAAAAGCUUCAGUGCAGGGUAUACAAAUACCGCAUUCGAACAACCGCCACUUCGACCUAUACAUGGAUUCGAUUUGAAGUCUCCAGCCAACAUACUCUAUUGAUCGAAGACUUGGGGGACUACAUUAUGUACCAUACAUUGGGCCUCAAUUGGGUCUCAUGAAAAAUACUUGGGGAACUCUAGCCCAUUAUGUAUUGAGGAGCGAUCCCUUAUUUUAUAAAAAUGACUCCCUCACUUUCAUUAGAGAGCGCCUAUUAUUCAUGUACUGAGGAGCGAGCCCUUAUUUUAUAAAAGGGACUCCCUCACCUUCAUUAGAAGAGCAUCGUCGCCAGCUGAGCAACCGCCUCGUCGCGAGCAUCACUCUUAACCCAUCACUUAUGUAUUGAGGAGCGAGCCCUUAUUCUAUAAAAGUGACUUCCUCACUAUCAUUAGAGAGUAUCGCCGCCUGCUGAGCAACCGUCUCGCCGCGAGCACCAACUCUAACCCAUCAUUUUUUUUAUUGAAGAGUGAGCCCUUAUUCUAUAAAAGGGACUCCCUUACCUUCGACACCACAAGCCAAACCAACCAAGGCAACAUAAGCCACAAGCCGAGCAGCCUCGCAACAUGUGCUACUUCUAGUUGAGCAUUAUUUCAAAUUGAGCACCGCCUCAUAUCGAGUAUCAGUCCUAGAUGACAUCUAGUUACUUCGGCUCAUACAUGGACUGAGUUUCAAGUCUCCAGCCAAAAGACUCUCUUGACUGAAGACUUGGGGGACUACUGUUUGUACCAUACUUAGGGCUUCCGUAUUUAGAUAUCGUAUAAAUACUCGAGAGACUCAAAUGUAAUUAUGUAAUAAAGGAAUGGGCAAAUCUGUAAUAAGCGAUGAGCCAUUAUUCUAUAAAAGAACCCUUCACUCUCCUCAUUAAGGAGGCCAAUUCCUAGGCCAUGAGAAGCCUCCUCACAUCCCCUAAGCUCUAAGCUCUCUCAAAGCUCUCAUUCUCAUAUUCAGAGCUCUCUCCCCCUCAGAAAUACAAUAUUAGUGUGGACGUAGCCCAAACCUUAGGGUGAACCACAAUACAUCUUGUGUUAUUUACUUUCUUGCAGAUUCACGGUCGGAUUUACGUUGUUCCAAGACCUCUCCAGUUUUGUGCAUCAACAAGUAGUAUAAUUCCAGGCCUUGAAGAAGGCUACAAAGUAUAUGGGAAUAACGUAUCUAUGUAGUGUUUAUGUUUGUUCAUUUCUCCCUUGCGGUUUUUUAUGCCUGUUAAUGCUUGAACAAUGAUGCAAGUCAAUCAAGCAGAUAAGAUUCAGAAAGAAAACUCCACAUCUGUUGCCAGCAAUGCUCAUGGGGAGAAGUAUAGGAAACCAAAGCCUACAAAUCUGAAGCCUUUUAGGUUUAGAAUUGAUGUAUGUGAAACCUGUUGUGACCAAUUUCUUUAAUAAGUAUUAGUAGCGUUGAUGCUUAAUAUGAUAUGUUUUGGCUUUUUUUUUUUUAGGAAAGAGGGAUGUUGAAGGAAGCAACUUUGGAGAAAAAAACUCAUGCACCACUGAAGGAGAUCACAUUAGUCAGGACUCCAGGGGCAAAGUAAACAAGCAAACAUCAGAAUGUUAUACAGGUAUACUUAGGAGCUACAAGUGCUUUGUGUGUGGUUUGAAUCUGAACAAUUACAUUGUGUAUCAUCGUCAUAUAGGCAAAUUUGUUAUGUGUGAUGGUGUAUUUACGCAUGACUGAAAUGGAUGAUCUAAUUUUAUGCAAUUUAUAAUUUUGGGUUUCUCUAAUUUUUUUUUUUUUUUUUGUGAUUUAUUUGAUGAAAGUUUCAAUCUUCAGGUACAUUUUUCAUAUAUGUACUCAUCAAAUGUCACGAUUACUGUUCCUUUGGUUUUUUGGGCUACAAAUUAAAUUUUGGGGUUGUUCAAAUUUGUUUAAUUUGGUCCAAGAUUAAUCGAUUUGAUGUUCUAGGUUCUUUGCAGGCAAAACAUUGGAGCAGUUGGUCAUAUUUGGAAGAGCAAACGAGGAUGGAGUUCUUGGUGUUGCAUGAAGUUGAUGUGUAUCAGAUGGACAUCCAUCAUGUCUUCAAUGGAAGAAAUUUGAUGUCACCAUCUUCAGCUUUCCUCAUGCAAACCAUUACUCUUAGCUAAGUGAAAAAUACUCGGACCUUAUUGAGUAAGUCACUAUUCAUUUCAUUUAAAUGCUGAUUAUGAUAGUAUGUGUAAAUUGUAAAUAUAUUGUACAUAAAAUUUUCAAUUCCGCAGCAAUGCGCGGGCACCAUUGCUAAUAUAUACUAAAAGAGAAAAAUGUGGUACUGUAGAAGUAACAGUGUUAUUCCAUUUCUACCCUUCAAUUGCUAUGUAAAUUUAGCUUUUUGUGUGUAUUAUAGAGUAAAAUGACAUUUUUGUCCAUGCUGGGCAAUAGAAAUCUCUCCAUUUCUUCAGACCCCGCACUCAGCUUUCGCCAUCUCUCUUCCAUCUCUGCUUCGCGCUCUUCAAUCUUUUUGCUUUGUCAUCUCUUCCUCCGUGAUUUCUUCACCAGCAACUUUGCUCAAGAUCUUUCCAAUUGAAAAAACCCAGAUCAUCAUCAUCUAUUCCUCAUCACCACAGGUACCUUCUACACCUAUUACAUGUCAAAAUCUGCUUCGUGUUCUCUUCAUGUUUUAGUUCCUUUUCACUGCUUUUGGUUGAUUUUUAUUCCCAUUUCUUUUCGAUCUCUUCUUUCGUAGCCGUCUGCUCUCUCUUCUUUCUUCGCCUCUGUUGGUCUCAAAGUGGAUAGUUUUGCGAUGAGUUGUUCUAAUCUUGCAUCUACAACUUUUUUAUGCAACUGUAUGGAUUGUGUUCUGUUCAAUUUUAGAUGUUAGAAGCUUUUAAUUUUUUAGGUUCAAUUUUAAAUGGGUUGUUGCUUUCGGAGUUUUCGUUUGAUGACAGAGAUGGGGUUUUUUGGGGAGAAACUUUUAAUAUUUUCCCCCCUUUUAAGCAGCAGACUUCAAAUCUUUGUCCAUUCCCAUUUUAUCGAAAAAACAGUUCAUAAAGUUUCAAUUUUUAUCAGAGAAAAGAGAGAGAGAUGAGAGAAAUCAUAAGCAUUCAUAUUGAGCAUGCUGGAAUUCAUGUGGGCAAUUCAUGCUGGGAGCUCUACUGCCUCGAGCAUGGAAUUCAACCUGAUGGGCAGGUGCCCAUGUAGGUUUUUGUAUAUCUCCAUCGAUAUUUCUAUUUAUAUAUGCACUUUUUUUGGGUUUUUUAUUUAUUUUGGUGGGUGUGUUUCUCAAAUGGUAGUGCCUUCGUCCAUGAGCGGUAGGUCUCGGGUUUGAGACUUGGGAGCAGCCUCUCCAUAAAUGGGGGUAAGGCUAGCCGACAUUCACCUCUCCCAGACCCUGCGUAAAGCGGGAGUUUUGUGCACUGGGUACGACCUUUUAGUCGAUGGUGAAACUAAAAGUUACCAUAAAAGAAAUAGCAUUGAUUUUGCUUGAAUCUGACUGAUCGGAUGCAUUUGCUUUCUUUGCAAGGUUGUUGAAAUUGAUACGUCCCAAGUCUGGUGAGAUUAGAGAUAGUAUCAAGGAACUGAAUAUGAUGUAACAACACAUCCAUUGCAGGUCACUGAAGCUGAUAUUGAACAUUGCCGAUUCAUCAGAACCUAUAUUCUUCUGCGUUUCCUCAAAAUCCAAGGUACGGACUUCACCAAGCCGUAAGUUAUUGGGAUUUUUUUAUUUUGGUUUUGGAUUAGUAAUUUUUUGCUCGGUAGCUGAGAAAAUGUUAUCCCGUGUUUUAGGUCUUGUGUUUUUGUGAUUUUGGGUUCGUAGGUUUUUCAGAUUUUGGGAGUUUGUUUGUAGGCUGCAAAAUCCUCUGUUCUCAAGGUAAGUAAUUUAAAAUUCUGGGAUUAUUCAAUUGAAAGUUUCAAUUUAUAGUUUAGUUUAGUUUAGUUAUUUUAUAAUUAUACAAUAAUUUUAAGUCUCAAGGUGAGUAAAGUCAUAUCAAAUUCAGAGCAGAAAACAACAAAUGUAAAACAAAAACAGAAAUUAUGCAAUAAAUCCAUCUAAAAUUCAGCAAAACGAAGUUCAAGAAACAAACUUUUCAUCUUAAUAUGUUGAAAAGGAAGAGAAUUGCACCUCCCGAGAACACAAACAAACAAACUCUGCAGUAAAGAAACCGGCAGCCAAGUUUGAGUCUUUAACUGAUGCUAUAGAACCCACCAAACAGAAAAACUAACAAAUGGAAGGGGGGAGAGAGAGAGAGAAAGAGAGCCAAAGUUUGAGUCUUUAACUGAUGCUGCAAAACCCACCAAGCAGAAAAGCUCACAAAUGGAAGGAGAGAGAGAGGGAGAGAGACAAAGUUCAAAUGAAUAGUGAAAUGAGGUACAUUUUCCUAGUGAGAUAAGUAAAAGUAUUAAUUAACGUAUUUAUAUUUUAUUAGUAAGAUAAGUAAACUAAGAAUUGUAUAUAUACUAAUAGUUCUGUCUAUUUUUUUCCCCUCUUAUGUUUUGCCUACUCAUAUUCAUCAAUAUGUUAUUCUCUCUUCCAAGGUUCAUGCAUAUUUCUUCUUUUUUUUCAUCAGUUACUUUUUUUUAGAUACAUUUUAUUCUCUGUUUUGUGACUACGGGACAGAGGUUCAGGGCCGAAGGGGUAGAGGAAGACCUAGGAAAACUUUGGAAGAGACCCUAAGAAAAGACUUGAGUACUUGGAUCUAACGGAGGACAUGACACAAAACCGAGCGCAAUGGCGUUCUAGGAUUCAUAUAGCCGACCCCACUUAGUGGGAAAAGGCUUUGUUGUUGUUGUUGUUGUUGUUGUACAUUUUAUUCUCUGUUUUAAAUUAUUGUAUUCAAGGUUCACUUUGUUAUAUUGACUCUGAAAUUCGAACACAAGUUUCUAAAAUAUAAUAUUCUUUUGAACUUUCCAUAUUUCUGAGUAUGCACCGCAUUGAUUAAGGUUUUUUAAAUUCAAGGCCACGAUGUUUGCAUGCCCACAAUCAUGUGAAUUGAGGCUGAAACUGAUAUAAAGUUUGAUAAGAGCAUUUCAACCAUUUAAAUUAGUUUUCUAAUCACAUUAGUUACUUUGUCAAAAGAAAAGAAAAAAGAGCAUCUCUUUCAUCAAUCAUACUUGACAUGCAUCUUAGUGUACAUACAGUUCUCAGUUUUCUGUCUUCCUUUAUUCUUUUAAUUUUUGUGUGUGUAUGUAUUUAACUAUGCAUACACACAGAUCUUGGAUAAAGCAAAGUUCUAGAUGUUUUUUAAUUCUAAUAAACUGAUUAGAAGAAUAAACGUUCAACUUGACUAAGUCUGUUGAUAUUAUCGUAUUAGUGGGAAUUAUAUGGUUGGAAAUAUUGUGUAUAUUUUUAUGCAUAGGCUUGAUAAAAUAAAUCCCGCACUUUUUGCUGCGAUCAAUUUUUCGUUUUUUGAUUUGGUGAAUUCUUGCAUUGUUUUCCAAUGAAGAGGAUUCGAGCAUUAAUAUUGUCAGUAAUGGUGAGACUACUGGUUUUCCAGUCACCCCACAUAAUGAGCAGCUGAGUUGUGCAUCUCCAAGCAAGAAAAGGCUGGAUGCUAUUAGUGAUUCUGCCAAAGAAUCAAAACAAAGUGGUAGGUAUUUACAUUUCCAUGUAUAGGAUUUUGUGGAUUUUAUGAAAUAUAUUGUUUGUUCUUCUCUGAGCGUUGAGUUUUAUAUAUCAACCUCCUUACUUUUAUUUUUCUUCAACAUUCAUGUGCAUCAUUUAGAGGUCGCACUUGGUGUGAUGGCAAGUGCCUUCGCCCAUGAGCGGUAGGUCUCGGGUUUGAGACUUGGGAGCAGCCUCUCCAUAAAUGGGGGUAAGGCUAGCCGACAUUCACCUCUCCCAGACCCUGCAUAAAGCGGGAGCCUUGUGCACUGGGUACGACCUUUAUUCAUGUGCAUCAUUUGACUAUUUGGACUUUGGACUAAAUUGUUGAAGCUGAUUUUGUCAUGGAUACCAUGUGCAGUUUUUAUUAUGGAUACUCACACAUUCGAGAUGUAUACCAGCUCAUUGAACAAGAGGACAUCUAGCAGUCCAAAGAAGCUCUCUCGGUGCAGCAUACACUUUCCUCAAUCAAAUUUUGACAAGGAGGAUCCAGUGAACAAUGGAAUUGGUGAUGAUCCAAAGAGUUAAACUGGUUUAAUUCUACUGAAAAUUGUGUGUUGAUGAUUGCUUCAGUCAAAUUCGAUAUUUUCGGUAGACUAGAGAUGGCUGCUAGAAAAUGUAUGACUGUUCUCUAAUCUAAAAUACACUUCUCAGAUUGCUGUGGUUACUGGUUUGAAUUUUCCUUAUUUACCUUGGUGCCUUUUAACUUUUGAGGUGAAAUUUGUUACGCGACUUCAUUACUUGCAAAAUUUUGUUGAGUCAACAUUCAAUGCCCUUCCUUCGAAUCAAGUUAAAGGUAGGAUCGUACUCGGAGAAGUUUGUGAGGGGCCAAUGGGACAAGGAUUGCAAAAAUACAAGGCUUGCCUCUCAGUGCGUUUCAGACUUACCCUCCUAAAUUUUCUUCCAAAUCACAAUUUAUAUGAUUAAUUUACUGAUUCUUUUUUCGGGAUUUGAGUUUUUGUCUCCUGAUUAUUUUUUGCAGAGAUUGUAUUAAUUUCCCUUUGACUGGAAAUUUGGGGUUUCUUUAGGUAUAAUGUUAUCAAAUUUUAUUUUUCCAAUUUUCUGAUUUUGGAGUUUUGCAGGGAGUGAUAUAUACUAAUUUUUUGGGAUUGUUGGUCUUUGCAGGGUUUUCGCUCGCCAGACAAUGAUAGGUGAAUCACGGCAAGCAACAACAAUUAUGCUGCAAACUGAAUCCAAGAUGACUAACCUGGAGUCUUCAUGGUGGUCGCACCUCUCCUCAUCUUUGCUCCUCCUCCGAAACCCCUCUGUAGGUUUCCGAACUUAAAUUGUAUUUGCUCUCUCUUUCUGCCCUUUAGAAGGGUUUCGGAAAAAUAAUUUUUUUUUUUUUUUACUAUAAUUUUGGUUUUGAUGAUAAAAUUUGGAUUUGCCCAUUUGGGGAUUUUCAAGUUCAGGACCUAGGAAACAAGUAGCAAUGCAGAGGCACUGUUGGAGAGAUUGUGGACCUCUGUUAAAUCACAGUCUAGUGAAGGGAUUAGCCCGUCUAACUUUGUGUUUUAGAUGAAUCCGUUUCGGAUAAGGGAAAAUUCAAACCCAUAAAAAGUUGGGUUUCCUGGUGAGUUGUCCGGCAGAUUUCAGGUGGCUAAUUUCGUGAUUACAAUUAAUUUUGCCUCAUGACAUUGUGGUAUGCUAUCGAAUCUAAUUGGCGAUUUUUUUGUAUGGUUUUUGUGUGGAUGCAGGUCACCAAUGAACAGGUUGAUCACAUCUUGAGUUUUUUGAUUGAUUUAUUCAAUUCUAUCAGUUUUUAUUCUGACCCUCCAUAACAUUUGCAGCACCAUUUGCCUUGCUCCCAUCACAGCUUGGCUUUCAGUUCCUCAGGUAAAGUUUCCACCUUUUUUUCUUCAGGAAAAUAACAAAGAUUCCAAAUUUAUUGAACUAUUUAGUGAUUUUCUGUUGAGUUUCUUCUUAAAAUUUUUAAUUAAAAUUUUUUGAAUUGAAAUGGGGGGAAUGGUGGAUGUGAGAGUCUCUUUUACAACAAUUCAAAGGGAAGAGCUUGAGAGACAGUGGACUCUUCCCCUAUUCCUCCACAUUCCCUUUUACCAAUUUCCAAGAACACAUUAAAUUCCCUCAAAAUAUAAACCGAGGUCUGGAAAAGCUUUGAAUUCCUUGGUUUCCUCCAAUUAGUAUGCAGAACUCUCAAAAAAUAAAGAAGUGAGGGUUGAAUGUCUACCCUCAUAUAUACACAGAGAGAUAUGGAAAAAAUUAGAAUGGUGAAGUGAGGGUUCAAUGACUUAUUUGGUUCUAUUUAAAUAAAGUUCGCUGAUUAGGUUGAUUUGUGUUGUGUACAUACACUUCUUGGCUUUAUUUCUGUUUGAUGGACUUAUUUGUUUCUGUAUCGGUUGCUGACAGAAUGGAUAGGGUGCCAGAAAGAAAGUUUUUGAUAGAAUUAGAGUUUGAUCUCUUCAUUUGGGUUGUGCAUAUUUCGUUUGAUCUCUUACUUGGGUGUAGAUUUCGUUUGAAUUAAUUUGGGUUGCCAUUCGUAAUUCUUUGUUUUUCACUCAAACAUUAUUUAUGAAAAUUGAAGCUAUAAAAUAUUUCAUAUGAUUUUCAAUCCCGUAGCAUCGCACGGGUACAAAUUUCUAGCAACAUCUUAGGAAGGCUGCAAACAAAAAGAAAAAAUCGAAUAUUUAUCCAAAAUGAGUAUGAAACGUUCCAAAAUAUUCCGGUUUUUUAUAUUUAUUUACAAAAAUUAUGUUUUGCAGUCAAGUUUUGUAUUUUAAUGUUAAUUUGGAAUGCACUUUCUUUAUUUUUUUUUAUGUUAAUCAUACACUUAUAUAUUAAAAAAUCAAGCAUAUAUGACAAAAUAAACUGGAUUUAUAUAUAAGCAUAUACAGUAUACCAAAUAUUGGGAAAUAACAAUAAAUUUGUAAGCACGAAAGUGUUCAAGAAUAUCUAAAAACUUGUAAAAGAAAUGAAUUUCUAAAUCAUGUUUCAAAAUUUCUGAGAUUACUACGAAUUGAAAUAUUUUUAAACUUUCGAAUUUAAAAAUUGUGAUCCGAUCUGAUUUAAUUCUACAAUUUAAAAAAAAAUGAAAACGUUGUGUUUCCAAUUCGUCUAUCUGACAAUCAUCUCCAACUGAUUGUACCGGAUCAAAUUGCCCAAUAACACAGUCAAUUAACUUUCCAGAGGGAAACUGAAAUACCUCUGCGAGUCUUCCCAACCCUCAGAAUGGUAGACUGCUAUAACGAAAUCACCAACUGAUUCCCUUUUAAAAAAAUUAAAUAAAAUUAUCUUUCUAGGGCUUGGAGCUGAACUCAUCUAUGCGAACUCUCUAUUUUUAAAAUUCGAACGUAAGAUCUUUAAUUUACAAAUGAAGAAGAAUACCACUAGACUGUAGUACUAAGGUCUUGUUAUAAUGCAUUACAUUCUCUAAUGUUCAUUUACCAUAAAUGUAUCGUGUUUGCAUCGUAUGAAAUAAUCCUAAACUUAAUCCCAAUUUAUUAACCACCAAUACCUAUAAUUUAUCAUGCAAAAUCUUAUCGUUUAUUGCGCUGUAUAUUACUAUCACAUCAACUUCUGACUUAGAUGCAUUCAAUCCACGAAAUUCACUUUGAAAUUUGAAGAUUAAUUUGGUACAUGAAAUAAUUUAUCAAACAAAGAUUCAGUAAAAAGUGACUACAAAUACAACCAAAGGGUAAAUAAUGUAUGAGGAUCAAUACAUGCUAAAAUACACCUUGUAUACAGUCAGAGGAAAGAAUCCACUAGACCAUAGUAUGACAUGUAUUUAUUAAAAUCCACAAAAAUUCACUUGACUCAUUCAAUUUCUUCCUACCUGCUACCACUAUUUAUUUUCAUUUCCAAAUUUUCAUGAUGCCAAACGAUCGUAUUAGAAAACCUAAUUGGUCAAUGAUGAAGUUAAAAGGGAGUUGUGGUGAAAGUUGUUGACAAGAAUGGGUUGGUUGUGUUAUUUUUUAUUAUUUAUCGGAAUUUAAAUUUAGAGGCUAAAUGCUCAUAAGUUGAGAAUUAAAUCUUCAAAAUGAGUUAGGUGCCAAUCACAUAAGGCUAAAUUAAAGGGCAAUAUGAAAAACUAAAUGAGAAAAUUGUAGCAAUAAUCUCUCAACUUUAACUUUAAUAGGAGAAAUGAUCCCUCAACUUUAGCCCAAUUGAAACAAUAGCUCCUCAACUUUAACCCAAUUUUAGUAAUGUUCUUCAAAUAUGGCUCAUUUUGACGGAAGUUCUGACAGAGUUGACGAAAAGAACCAUAGUUAUACGUUUUGGUGAGUUAAGGGACAAAUAGUAACAUAUUUUUAAUUGAGAGAGCAUCGCUCCAAUUGGAUUAAAGUUGCGGUACCAUUAUAACUCAAAUGAGAUAAACCAUAGCAGUAAAAGCAAUUUACAUUGUAACAGCAUCGUCGUCAUCCUGUCGAUGUUGAGAUUUUGUUUGAACUGUUUAAUUUGAUAUGCAGAUAAAAGUCUCUUUGAAUUGCAGAUUUGAAUGGCACAAAAUAAUAAGUAGGUGAUUAACUAACUUGUAACUAAUCAAGCUGAUAUGACGGUAAGUACCAGAAAGAAAAAACACGAUGAACCAACUCCGGAGUUGAGCACAAGUUCACAAACACAACAGACUCGUAUUCUAAAUCCCAUUGCAGCUGAGCAAUAUAUAGAAUUAUCCGAAGAUCGCUUAACCGUAGCAAGAGCACUCUCAGGGAACAAUCUCAUUCGUUUUUCUCUGUCCAUUUCUAUCUCUUUCUCUUGUAUUACUUCUAGCUAGAACUGCAUGCGGAAAAUAUGGGAAAGCAUCUCUUGAUGUAUUUAACUAGAAAAGUUGUGAUGCUUCCACAUUCUCAAGUGAUUUAGACCCUUUUGUAGGUACAUCUAAUUCCCGUUCCGUUCGAAGAUCGAAGGGAAGCUAUACGAAACAAAUGGCAAUGGCUUCGUUUCCUCUGAAUGAAUGAGCUUAAUUAAAAACUGAAUAACAAAUGGCGAAGGCUUCCUUAAUUAAUUUGGUCCAAACUUGAAACAAAGAAAGGAAUAACAUCCCUAACUAAAAGAUUAUACGUAAAAUUAAAAACUGAAUAAGCUUAAUUUCAGUAAAUGAAUCCCAAAUACAUAAUAUACCAAAUAGUUUUCAAAUUCGGAGCAGAAAAUACUGGUAGCUAGCGAGCAAAGAAACAACUAAGAGGGAGAGAUCAGGAAUUUUUGUCAAGUACAAGAUGAUGAAUGCGAACGGAACAUAGAGCAUCAACCCAAUGACAAUGCCAAGUUGCCAACGGAGUCCACGAUGAGCAAGUGAGCAAAUCAGUCCACAACAGCUAGAGCUUGAAACUGUUCGUCCGAGAAGGCUGCUUCCAUGACAUGGUGCGGGCCAAUAUCCCCACCAUUCUCCAAGAAGGACCUGACCAAAUUAUUAGACCUGCCACGCAAUAGCGUCACCCCUGGACAAGGCAAAGCGAUUGAAGGCAAUUCCCGGCACCAAAUAUCCCAAAACAGAAUGUGAGGCACCGCAUCAUCCCCAUACCCUUUGUCCUUAAACAUGGUCCUUAUGGCCUCGUACUGAGUCUCCCAGGCCGCGCCAUCAAAAAAAUCAGGGCCCAUGUCGUCGUCGAAGAUAAAGAGCUUCUGGAUCAUCUGAUCUGGCUUCAAAUUCUCAUUGACAGUCACUUGGAGAAUCAAAUCAAACACCUUUUGCAAAUGAACUACCAGGCAGCCAUCCAUUCCCUUCAAAAAAGAUAAUUUGGACCUUAGGCCAUCGUUGCGGGGUACUGAAUACAGAUGAGGAAGACGAAAACAAAAUAACAGAGCGUGGUCGUCCCCGGCAGCAGCAGGAAGAGGAGCGGAACUGAUCAGCUUUCCUUUCCAGGCUGGCUCUUCAUUCAGUUCACUCACAAAAAGUCCCAAACUCGCAAUCAAUUCCCUAGCCCCGCCCAUAAUGUUAGGAAUGUCGGUACUACAAGAUAGAGAAUGCAUAAGGUAAAGUAGAAAAUGGACACCAAGAAUUUAUGUGGUUCGGCAAUUUAUGCCUACGUCCACCAAACAAGGAUCAAUCUUCACUAUAUGAAAAAGAUGAAUACAACAAGAGUAGUCUUACCAAGCCAAAGACAAGGCUUGAUGGAUACAAGAAAGUAUAACACACACUUUCUAUCACUCUAAACUUCACUCACACAAUGUGUAGUGGAACACUCUCACUCUCACUCUUGGAGUGGAACUCUAGCUUUGGACUUGAUCCUUUGCUACUCACUCUUGGUUCUCAAUUGGUUACAUCACACCCAUAUUUAUAGGUGAGGGCUUGGCAUUCUACUAGUUUCUAGUUCCUUCUUCAAACCUCUAGUAUAGAAAAAUCUAGACUAGCCACAUACUUGUAGCUUCUAGAUCUUUCCAUUUGCAACCAAGGAAGCUAGUACUCUCUAGCUUCUUCCAUCAACUUAAUAACAUGCUAGAAUUGUCUAGCAAGCUCCAGCCUCAUCUCUUGCUUACUAGAAUAAUCUAGAACAUUGAUCAUGGGCUGGACCAACAAUCUCCCCCUCCAGUCCAUGAGGGAGGAAUUCCGAUCAUGACUCCAAGUUACCUGGAGUUCAUCCCAGCAGCCUUAAUGCAGAAUUCCAACUUUGAUUUUGUGACUACAUUUGUCAACAUGUCUGAAGAAUUAUUAUCGGUAUGAAUCUUCUUCAGCUGUAGCAACUUGUUCUCGAUAGCGUCUCUAAUCCAGUGAUAACGAAUAUCAAUGUGCUUAGUGCGUGAAUGAUAUGUAGUGUUCUUGCUCAAAUCCAGAGCACUCUGACUAUCACAAUAAACGCCAUAAUCACUUUGCUUCAAACCCAACUCUUGGAGAAACCGCUUCAGCCACAACAACUCCUUGCAUGCUUCUGUAGCGGCUAUGUAUUCAGCCUCGGUUGUGGACAAAGCAAUGCACUUUUGUAACUUGGAUUGCCAAGACACGGCUCCCCCUGCAAAAGUAAACAAGUACCCAGACGUAGAUUUUCUACCAUCCAGGUCACCUCCCAUGUCAGCAUCUGUAAAUCCUUCCAAGAUUGGUUUGGAACCGCCAAAGCACAAGCACAUCUUAGAAGUCCCCUUCAAAUAUCUGAGAAUCCACUUAACAGCUUCCCAGUGGUCCUUCCCUGGAUUAGAGAGAAACCUGCUCACCACACCUACUGCAUGAGCAAUAUCUGGCCGUGUGCACACCAUUGCAUACAUGAUACUUCCUACUGCUGAAGAGUAGGGAACAACUGCCAUUUUCUCCUUUUCUUCAUAUGUUUUUGGACACGACUCUUUGCUCAACUUGAUAUGAUUGGCUAAAGGUGAGCUUACCGAUUUGGCUGCUUUCAUGUUGAACCUUUCAAGCACCCGUUCAACAUACUUUUCUUGUGACAGCCACAACUUUUUGGAUUUUCUGUCACGAAUUAUAUCCAUGCCCAAAAUCUGCUUGGCUGGCCCUAAGUCCUUCAUGUCAAAGGACUUAGAUAACUCUUCUUUGAGCAUUUUAAUCAUAGAGGUAUCUUGUCCGACAAUCAACAUGUCAUCAACAUAAAGCAAUAAGAUGAUGAAUUUACCUCCAGAAAAUUGUUUGAUAUAGACACAAGAGUCAGCAUGAGUUCUCUUGUACCCAUUACUCACCAUGAAUGAGUUGAACUUCUUAUUCCACUGCCUCGGAGCCUGCUUAAGACCAUAUAAGCUUUUCUUGAGCUUGCACACCAAAUUUUCUUUACCUUUGACUUCAAAGCCUUUGGGUUGCUCCAUGUAUAUCUCCUCUUCUAAAUUGCCGUGGAGAAAUGCAGUUUUAACAUCUAACUGCUCGAGCUCAAGAUCCAUACUUGCUGCCAUACCAAGGAUAACUCGAAUGGAAGUCAUCUUCACCACCGGUGAGAAAAAUCUCAUCGAAGUCAACUCCUUUCUUUUGACCAAAACCUUUGACAACCAAACGAGCCUUGUACCUUGUCAUGUUGUCGUCUCUUUUCAAUUUGAACACCCACUUGUUUUUCAAUGCUUUCCUGCCCUUUGGAAGCUCCACCAGCUCAUAGGUAUCAUUCUUUGAUAAGGAAUCCAUCUCCGACUCCAUUGCCUUCAUCCAUUUGUCACUGUCGUUAUGAGCUCUGGCCUCCUCAUAUGUUUCAGGCUCUCCAUAAUUAGUCAACAUGAUAUACUCUGAUGAAGAAUACUUGGUAGACGGUCUUCGACUUCUGAUGGAUCUUCUGACCUGAUCUUCAUUCUCUUGUAGGGCUGGAGGCUCCCCCUGAUUGGGUUCUCCUUGAAUCUGCUCUUCUUGACUAGGCUCCACCUGAUCAGCAAUCUCAUGGUCUGGCACAUCUUGAUCAGGCUCCCCCUGAUCAGCAUUAUCUGGUUCUGCAGGCACUUCAUUGGCAGCUGCUUCAGGGAUGUCAUCGUGACUUUCUUCAUCUGAAGCUAAUGGAUCAACUCCUCUGUCUGCGCCAUCUGGUUGUGCUUCUUUAUCCGAAUCCCCAAUUGUUUGAUCUUCAUAAAAGAUCACGUCUCUACUUCGAAUAAACUUCUUCUGGUAUGGGUCCCAUAAUCUGUAACCAAAAUCUUCAUCGCCAUAACCAAGAAAGAUGCACGGUGUAGCUUUGUAGUCUAACUUCGAUCUCUGCUCUUUGGGCACAUGCACAAAAGCUUUACAGCCAAACACUUUCAGAUGAGAGUAAGACACAUCAUUACCAGCCCAUACUCUCUCUGGAACAUCAAGACCUAAUGGUACUGAUGGAGAUCGGUUGAUCAAAUAGCAGGCUGUCCUUACAGCUUCACCCCAGAACUGCUUAGAUAACUUUGCAGUCCUCAGCAUACACCUGACUUUCUCCAUGAUGGUUCGGUUCAUUCUUUCAGCAACACCAUUAUGUUGUGGAGUUCCAGGAACUGUCUUCUCAUGACGUAUGCCAUGUUUCACACAAUACUCUCUAAACUGGUGAGAUGUGUACUCGCCGCCGUUGUCGCUACGAAGGCACUUAAGAGGUUUCCCAAUUUCCCUCUCCACCAUGGCAUGGAACUCCUGGAAUGUCUGAAACACCUGGUCUUUGGAUUUCAACAAAUACACCCAAACCUUUCGUGAAGCAUCAUCAAUAUAAGUAACAAAAUAUUUAUUUCUUCCGAGUGACUCGACUUCCAUGGGACCAUACACAUCUGAAUAAACAAGAUCUAACAAAUUUCCUUUCCUUGUAGAUGGAAUCGAAAAACUAAUUCUUCUUUGUUUUCCUAAUAAACAGUGCUCACAAGAGUUUAACGACGUACCUUUGGCAAAGGGAAUGUGAGACUUCUUUGCCAAAACCUGUAGGCCUUUCUCGCUCAUGUGACCUAGCCUCUUAUGCCACAAGUCUAGAGAUGAGUCCUCCACAGCAUUCAACUCACCUUUCAAAACCUUGGCAUUUGACCGGUACAACGUACAACAAAGUCGUGCUCUUGCUACCACCAUUAAGCCUUUAGUAAGCUUCAAUUUUCCUUCGCCAAUAUGGUGAUAAUAUCCUUGUCGAUCAAGGGUACCGAUGGAUAUCAAAUUGAGACGUAUAUCAGGAAUAUGUCUCACAUCUUUCAACAUCAAUUGGCAGCCGAGAUUAGUUCUUAGACAUAUAUCACCAAUUCCAAGAAUUUUGGAAUAGCUUUCAUUCCCCAUCUUCACUAUGCCAAAGUCACCUUCUUUGUAUGUACUGAAGAACUCCCGUUUGGACGUAGCAUGGAAGGAAGCUCCAUUGUCAAAGAUCCAUUCAAUGUCUCUGUCAGAGUUGCCCAUAUGCAGACAUUCACCAACAGACAAUAUUUCUGGUACAUCACCACAUAUGACAGCAGUGGUAUUGCCAGUAUCAUCUUUCUUCUGAUUGUUUCCUUCCCUUUGCUCUCUCUUCCAAACUCGACAAUUUUUUCUUCAUAUGGCCUUCUUUGCCACAAUGGUGGCAUGCACCCCUGAACCUUGACUUGGAUCGGCUAGGACUCCUGCCAUGACCUCUAGGCCCUCUACUCUUGCUUCUUCCGCGGUUCUCUCUGUGACAAAUACUUGGCUGCUAUCUGUGCCAGAAGUCUUUCUCCUUGUUUCUUCAUUGAGCAUGCUAUUUUUAACAUUAUCAAGGGUAAGAACACCAUUAGAAGCAGAGUUACUUAUACUCACCACAAAGGUCUCCCAACUGUCUGGCAAGGAUCCAAGUAACAAGAGCGCUUGUAGCUCGUCCUCGAUCGUCAUUUUCAUAGUAGCCAACUGGUUGAUGAUAUUCUGGAAAUUGUUCAAGUGUUCUGCUACACUUAAACCAUCCUUGUACUUCACAUUGAUGAGCUCUUUGAUCAAGAAGGCUUUCUUAGCUGGAGUCUUCUUCUCGAACAAGGACUCAAGCUUUGUCCAAAACUCGCGAGCAUUGGUUUCAUUAGACACAUGGUGAAAAAACACUAUCGUCCACCCAUUGUCUAAUUGUGCCAAUAGCCUUGCGAUUCAUCUUCUUCCACUCGGCAUCGGACAUGCUCUCUGGCUUAGCGGCAUCUCCUUCAAUUGGCUCAUGCAGAUCCUUGCAAUAGAGAAUGUCCUCCAUCCUUGGCUUCCAUGUUACCCAAUUGGAGUUGGUGAGUUUGAUCAUAGUGCCACUUCCUUCCAUCUCGCAGUACGAGCCAACCGGGCUCUGAUACCACUUGUUAGGAAUGUCGGUACUACAAGAUAGAGAAUGCAUAAGGUAAAGUAGAAAAUGGACACCAAGAAUUUAUGUGGUUCGGCAAUUUAUGCCUACGUCCACCAAACAAGGAUCAAUCUUCACUAUAUGAAAAAGAUGAAUACAACAAGAGUAGUCUUACCAAGCCAAAGACAAGGCUUGAUGGAUACAAGAAAGUAUAACACACACUUUCUAUCACUCUAAACUUCACUCACACAAUGUGUAGUGGAACACUCUCACUCUCACUCUUGGAGUGGAACUCUAGCUUUGGACUUGAUCCUUUGCUACUCACUCUUGGUUCUCAAUUGGUUACAUCACACCAUAUUUAUAGGUGAGGGUUUGGCAUUCUACUAGUUUCUAGUUCCUUCUUCAAACCUCUAGUAUAGAAAAAUCUAGACUAGCCACAUACUUGUAGCUUCUAGAUCUUUCCAUUUGCAACCAAGGAAGCUAGUACUCUCUAGCUUCUUCCAUCAACUUAAUAACAUGCUAGAAUUGUCUAGCAAGCUCCAGCCUCAUCUCUUGCUUACUAGAAUAAUCUAGAACAUUGAUCAUGGGCUGGACCAACACAUAAUUCUGUCCAUGUUACAUACAGCGAAGCAGUUUCUGAAUUUGGCACCCUCCUUGUGCUUGCGCAGCAAUGCAUUCCACUGAAGCUCAGCCGCCUCCCCAACAUUCGCAUCUUGCAAAUAUCGUAUGAUAAAAUGUGGAAGCAAAGCAUCGGGCUCUAUGACGCAGCUUAAAUUGCCUUUGCUAGCUGAUGCUGCUGAGGCUUUCACCUGCUCCAAAUAUUUAAUAUCCACACCCCACCGUCUCGGGUUGAACCUGCCCUGACGCUUGUAGUACUUCUGCAAGGGCGCCAAGAACUCCUUCCUCAGCCGCUCCCACUGAUCAUCCUCCUUUGAUGAUUGAUCUGGUUGUUGCGAUUGCGACACCAAAGGGAAGAGCCGCCUGGCAGUGCUUUCACGAAGCGCAAUGGCGCGGAUGGCAUGGGCGUCGGAGGGGAAUGUGGUGAGGAAACAGUCUGCGGCCUCGGAGACGUAGAGAUCAGCAAAAGCAUCAGCAUCAAUAGGACGUAUAACAGAAUCAUGUUCCCGAGAAUCAUCCUCGUCAUGAUCGUCGUCAUCAGUUAAAUAAUCAGAAGGCUUGAGUUCCAGCUUGUUCUGCUGCAUCUUUUGAAUAUCGGACUUGAGCCGCUCCACGAAAAUAUCCAUAGCGCGGUCGUGCAAGGACUUGUAAUGCGGAUCGCGGUCGUAUCUCUGGCGGUGUUUCUCCUCCAUCUCCUCCACCUCAGUCUCCUGCUGGUCCUGCGGAAGGAGAAGGCCGUAGAGAAUCUUGACAAUGGCGUAUAAUCCCCCGAAAGAGUCAAGGUUAUGCGCCAGAGUUCUGGGGUGGUUGCGGUGGAGCCAAGACAUGGCCGCGGACGAGGCUUCGGAUAGAAGUGAUUUGUGGAGAGGUUGAAGAUAAGCUUGAGGGUGGUGAGGGGGUUGUGGGACCAGGCGAGUGGGAGCCGUUGCUCGAGAGAGUUGAUGAGGGCAGUGUCAGUGUGGGAAGUACGGGCGGCAGAUGCUGGUGGUGGUCGCACCUUGAAAAAGAUAUCGAGGCACGGGUCGCUGUAGAAGGAGGAGGAGGAGUAGGAGGAAGCCAUAAUCUGAGGCUUAGCGGCGGCGUUGGCCACCUUGGACGCUAUGAAGCUUGUUGCGAGGUGGAAUUGCGGAGGAGGAGCGACACCAACCACCCUUGUCAGUGAAGGAAAAGAAACAAUGCUGCCUGGUGUUGCUAAUUUCAGAACCCUGGCCAGAUUCUUCAUCUCUAAAUCUCAAAUUCAAAUUAUGUCCCUCUCUGUUGGGUGGCGGUUGGAGUAGGAAUUGUGGAUCUUUAUUUGUUGGAGAAGAAGAUAUGAGGAUAUAAAUUGGGUCCGGGAGUUGUGCGUGUCAUGUAAUUCUCA